AGAGUUUGAUCAUGGCUCAGGAUGAACGCUAGCGGCAGGCCUAAUACAUGCAAGUCGAACGCUCAGUAGCAAUACUGGGAGUGGCGCACGGGUGCGUAACGCGUACACAAUCUACCUCUAAGCGGGGGACACCUCCUGGAAACGGGGAUUAAUACCGCAUAAUAUGCCGAAGUCGCAUGACUUUGGUAUUAAAGCAGCAAUGCACUUAGAGAUGAGUGUGCGUCCCAUUAGGUAGUUGGUGAGGUAACGGCUCACCAAGCCUAUGAUGGGUAGCCGGUCUGAGAGGAUGGUCGGCCACACGGGCACUGAGACACGGGCCCGACUCCUACGGGAGGCAGCAGUAAGGAAUAUUGGUCAAUGGUGGAAACGCUGAACCAGCCAUGCCGCGUGGAGGAAUAAGGUCCUACGGAUUGUAAACUCCUUUUGACGAGGAAGAAAAUGUUAGAUUUAUCUAAUUUUGACGGUACUCGUAGAAUAAGCACCGGCUAACUCCGUG
rnacentral:rRNA from 1 species